GCUCACAAUUCUUUGUCAUGUAAACAAGGCCCGUGCCCUGUUUUUGUAUACAAUGGUUCAAUAUUCCAGUAAAAAAUCUUUCUCUAGCCAAUUUGUUAAUCUUCUUAUUCAUUUUAAGCAUGAAUAAACUGUUUCUAACAUAACACAUUUGUUUUAGGUCUAAAACUGAAAUUUUUACUUCAACAUUCAAAAUGUAAACAAAUGCUUUGUUUACAUAGCAAAGAAGUGUAGGCUCUGUAACUCCCUUAUAACUCAACAAUAGACACUCAAAUUGUUGUUGAUUAUUGAAAAUACCUUACUUGAGCAUUGUAAACAUUAAAAUUUGAAAAAAAAAAAAAAACAAUUUUUGAUCAAAAUUGUGACCAUGCCCCUUUAAUGAUGUACGAUAAUUUAUUUAAAAAAAACAAUAAUACAUGUCAUUUUUAAGCUC
rnacentral:misc_RNA from 1 species